ACAGGAGGGAGUUCAUGCACGCGCCUCGCCACCCCUCGGAAUGGGAGGGGGUCACCCAUGGGCUACGCCACCCCUCAGCGAGGGAGUAAUGACACUAUUAAACCUGACAUUUCAUGAAUGGCUCUUUCCACUUUCACAGCUGAAGGAGCAGGCAUCUCUUAAGGUUUGCAUCUUCCUUCUACCUCUGUACUCCAAGUUCCUGGCUGGCACUGGAAUUACAUCCUUAGCAUGCACAUCAUAACCUCCAGGUGAGAAAAUAAAAAGACCCUGGAAGACAAGUGUAAUGCAUUGAGGUCUGUGAAAGCCACAAAGGAAGCAAAAGUCAAACAGCUGAAGGAAAAAGCACAUAACCUGGAAGAAUUCUAUGAACAAAGAAAAGUGGCUACAGAAAAACUGGAUUGGAUGGAAGGAAAGAGGCUGUCUGAGGGAUACAUGAGGCAGAAACCAAUGCCUGGAAGACCAGAGACGCAGAACCCUCCAAGGAGAGGGUCUUUAGUAGAUCCAGAAACUCUGAAACCUCUGUGAGUUACAGCAGCUCUGUACCAAGAAUGCAGACAAGGACAAGGGCAGUCUGGAUUCUGGGGACCUCCUCCAUUAAUGGGCGAUUCUGCAUGCUCUACCCUAGAGGCACCCCGCCCCCAUGGACUAUUAGGCACAUCCACCUCCUGAAUCUUGGUGGCCCUGGGGCCACCCCGAACCCCUCCACCUGCAACACUUGGUGUCUCUUGUAGAGAAGGAAUGGGGCUGUGUGCAGAAAAGCAGACAUAGCGCUUCAGCAGAAAUGCCCUGUACACAUUCCACAUGCUGGGAUCUGUGAGGCAUGAGGCACAGCCUAACGUAUGUCCAUCUAGUCGGGCCCCAGCCAUCCAUAGU